rnacentral:pre_miRNA from 1 species
AAUAAACCAAUUUUUUACUUUUUACCUAUAAUUUUUGAUUCUUCGUCUUACUCAAAUUAUUUUGCGAUUGAUAUUUUUGUUUUUAUUAAAUGAUAAAUCAUGAAUAUUACCUUACAUAUGACUAAUUUUUUUUCUAAUUUUCUAAAAUUUUUUCAAAUAAGACGAAUGAUCAAACGUUAAGACACAGAAACCGAAG